ensembl:lncRNA
AUAAAAGUAGGCAAAAAAAAUAUGUUCAUUCUGGAAAGGAGAGACGUGAUUUUCUCUGGAAUGAGGUGGAAAACAUAUGUGCAUACAAUGGUAUCAGCAUGGACAAUCAGAUAAAAUAAGUUGGAAAAUAUUAGCAUAUCGGAUAUUAUAUUACUACUUUGAAUGCGGUAUUGAACAUACGGACGUUGGUUUUUAUUUAGUUAAGUAUUUCUACGUUUUCCAUAUGGUUAAUUUAAUGAAAUGGCAGGUGUGGAGAGGGACUUGUCCACAGUUUUGUGGCCACAAGGGGCAGCAGUGAGCUCUCUACGGCUUGUUGCGUCACUAAUCCGACGUAAAGAAGAUGCCGCCGUUGAAAACGUCAUUUGACAAGUCACACUUAGACUAAAAAUAUGUGCUUUUUUGUAAUAUUUUUCCCUUUAACGAACGAAAACACUACAAAAAUACGAACUAAUGAGUUUGGAAAAUGAACCUCAGGUAAACUUCUUCAUCUGCGAUAAAUAAGAGAGCAACACCGAUAACUGUUAAUUAUCCUGUAGCUACUAGCUUACAUUAAUCUCGCACAAGCUAGCUAGCUAGCUAAUGUUUUUAAUUUACAACGCAUGGCCGAAUUAACAAGAAUUAAGAUAAACAAAAUAUAUGACUUUGACUGCUUAUGCUUGUAUAUUGUCUAUGUCUAUUAUACCGACCUCACAUUUACUGUAUGUGCAGUCCUACAUGUAUAUAAGCACCUUCAUAGGUCAGUCAACUGUCUGUUGACAGGUUAUUGGCCACAGACCUGCUCCUCACCUGGACAGAGCAGAGCACUGGCGGGUGACAUGAAGCUGACACAGGACAGAUGUAAUAACGAGCCUCUACUGUGUGGACGGAGGUGAGGACCACCUCUAAACCUGGCGGGUGGUACACAGGCACCUUUCUGCCAGAGUGUUAGCGCUGAGGCCCCAGCUGCCUGAGGGCCAUCCCCCUGUGGCCGCAAUGCCUCAUGUGAGU